rnacentral:rRNA from 1 species
GACGAACGCUGGCGGCGUGCUUAACACAUGCAAGUCGAACGGAAAGGCCCUGCUUUUGUGGGGUGCUCGAGUGGCGAACGGGUGAGUAACACGUGAGUAACCUGCCCUUGACUUUGGGAUAACUUCAGGAAACUGGGGCUAAUACCGGAUAGGAGCUCCUGCUGCAUGGUGGGGGUUGGAAAGUUUCGGCGGUUGGGGAUGGAUUCGCGGCUUAUGAGCUUGUUGGUUGGGUAGUGGCUUACCAAGGCUUUGACGGAUAGCCAGCCUGGGAGGGUGACCGGCGACAGUGGGACUGAGAGACGGCCCAGACUGGUACGGGGGGCAGCAGUCGGGAAUAUUGCACAAUGGGAGGAAGCCUGAGGCAACAACGCUGCGUGCGGGAUGGCGGCCUUCGGGUUGUAAAAAGCUUUCGCCUGUGACGAAGCGUGAGUGACGGUACUGGGUAAAGAAGCACCGGCUAACUACGUG